AUUGAACGCUGGCGGAAUGCUUUACACAUGCAAGUCGAACGGCAGCACGGACUUCGGUCUGGUGGCGAGUGGCGAACGGGUGAGUAACAUAUCGGAACGUAUCCAAUAAUGGGGGAUAACGAGUCGAAAGAUUCGCUAAUACCGCAUACGCCCUACGGGGGAAAGCUGGGGACCUUCGGGCCUGGCGUUAAUGGAGGGGCCGAUAUCUGAUUAGCUAGUUGGUGAGGUAAAGGCACACCAAGGCGACGAUCAGUAGCUGGUCUGAGAGGACGACCAGCCACACUGGAACUGAGACACGGUCCAGAAUCCUACGGGAGGCAGCAGUGGGGAAUUUUGGACAAUGGGCGCAAGCCUGAUCCAGCCAUUCCGCGUGAGUGAAGAAGGCCUUCGGGUUGUAAAGCUCUUUCGCAAGGGAAGAAAACUUAGCCACUAACAUUGGUUGAGGUUGACGGUACCUUGAUAAGAAGCACCGGCUAACUACGUGCCAGCCGCCGCGGUAA
rnacentral:rRNA from 1 species